rnacentral:rRNA from 1 species
GAUGAACGCUGGCGGCGUGCCUAAUACAUGCGAGUCGAGCGGACAGACGAGGAGCUUGCUCCUCGGACGUUAGCGGCGGACGGGUGAGUAACACGUGGAUAACCUACCUAUAAGACUGGGAUCACUUCGGGAAACCGGCGCUAAUACCGGACAAUAUAUUGAACCGCAUGGUUCAAUAGUGAAAGACGGUUUUGCUGUCACUUAUAGAGGGAUCCGCGCCGCAUUAGCUAGUUGGUAAGGUAACGGCUUACCAAGGCAACGAUGCGUAGCCGAGCGGACGGGGUGGUUGGCCACACUGGAAGGGAGACACGGUCCAGACUCCUACGGGGGGCAGCAGUAGAGAAUCUUACGCAAUGGGGGAGAGCGUAACGGAGCACCGCCGCGUGAGUGAUGAAGGUGUUCGGAUCGUAAAACUCUGUUAUUAGGGAAGAACAAAUGUGUAAGUAACUGUGCACGUCUUGACGGUACCUAAUAAGAAAGCCACGGCUAACUACGUG